rnacentral:tRNA from 1 species
AAGGAUUUAAGUUAAUAAAACUUUUAACCUUCAAAGUUAACAAUAGAUUUAUCUAAGCCUUA